rnacentral:rRNA from 1 species
UCUGGUGGUCAUAGCACGAGCAAUACACCCGGUCCCAUCCCGAACCCGGAAGUUAAGUGCCGUCGCGCUGAUGGUACUGCGCCUCAAGGCGUGGGAGAGUAAGUCACCGCCAGAC